CAUGGCCUCGAAACUAGGACGCAGUUUGGAGUCACCGGAAACUCGGGGGGACGGAGGCUGGACCGGAAUCGAACUCCCUCCUCCUGCACCAAAGGGAGCCACCACCACCACUACCACUACCACCACCACCGCUACCACCACCGCCUCGGUCUCUUAACCGUCGCGGGGGAAGGGGUUACAUCCGGGAAACUCGUGGGGAAAUGGCGGGAGAUGCCGAGGGCGUGGGGCCUUUGGAAUUUCUUUCCUUCACCCUUCCUCCGCUCAAAUCGCUACGCCUGGUGCAGACAGCACUUUACGUAUUUCCACCAAAGGAGGGAACCUACUUUGCGCCCCAAGGAGGAAAGAGGCUUAAUGCAGCUAAGUAACUGAACUGGACCAUUUAAAAGAAGUUCCAGAAAGCUGACUCUGAUCUGGAUUACAUUCAGUACAGGCUGGAAUAUGAAAUCAAGAUUAAUCAUCCUGAUUCAGCAGGCGAGCUGUCAUCACUGACUGAAGAAGAAAAAACUGUGACAGAGCAGUUAAAAUCUCACAUGCCACACUUAUGAAGAAGUGGAAUUGCAAAAGGGAACUGUAAUUACGAAGAGAUUAAUUCCAGAGAAAUACAGGAAGAUGUGUCAUUAACAGUUCAUGAGUAGAGGUGGGGGGCUGGUAAAGGAGGAAGAGGAAGUUGGGCUUGAGAGACAGGGUCAUGAUGCCUUUCAUAAAAGGAGGAUUAACAAGAGCAGAUAUUAUAUUAAUAAAGUUCAGCCAAAGGAUGGAAUGGAAAUAAAAGGAUUUAAAUAUCUAUACCUUAUUUAGUUUUGUAAUUUUAGGUAAAGGAAGUCCUUUAAUACUAAUUUGCAUCUGUUUUCUUUUUGUAUUGUUGGGAUAAUAGAUGGAUAAUAGAUGUUCUGGCCUAUCAUAAAAGAAUGUUUAUACAUUUUAGUCUGCCAUUGUGUGAAUGAAUGUGCAUUAUAAAAUAGACUAAAAGCAAAAUAUUUGUAUUAUAUAUUAUAUAUAGGUAUAUAAUUUCAUUUUUGAAAAUGUUGAUGGCAGAUGGAGUUACAUUAUUGGUGAGACCACUAAUAUGUGAUAUGUAGUCUUUCACAAAGUUUAAUAUGUUGGCUUUCCUGUGUAGCCUCACUUUUGUUUACUUUUUUCCUUAAAUCAUCUGUCUGCUAGUGUUGAGCAGCAUAAAUUUGUUUUCAAAUGCCAUUUUUGAUGACCCCUGUGGUAUCUCAAUAAUACUUUUAUUCUCAUUCAUCCUAUAAUUGUUCAUUCUGUAUAAAAGCUAAAUCAGGUGAGGGGGGGUCUCAAAUAAAAAGAAUAUGAAAACUCAGAAA